AGUUGCAGCAGUGUGAAAUAUGCCUAUUUCAUCAUAUUGCAUCAACAUCAUGUUCUGGGGUGAAUACACAGCAGUGACAAUAACAAGACCCUGUGGCCCUGAGGGAGCUCGCAGUCUAGUGGAUACCAUGACGUAAACAGCUGUCAGAGGGCUGUAAAGACAGCCGCAUUGACUCAGCAUUUUGCAGAACAGCAACAGUCACUGGGAGAGGAGGAGGCUGUGCAUGGAGCUGGGGUUUGACACAUGAUACACUACCAUAUGCUUACUCAAAUUUAGAUAAAAUCCCCCACAAUGUGUACAGGGAAUAAAAGAA